rnacentral:rRNA from 1 species
CUGGAGAUCUAGCUUGCUAGAUCGAAGGAGUGGCGAACGGGUGAGUAAUACAUAAGCAACCUACCCACGAAGACUGGGAUAAUCUCUGGAAACGGGGACUAAUACCGGAUAGGUAAUCGGAAGGCAUCUUCUGGUUAUUAAAGGUUAAAAACACUGGUGGAUGGGCUUAUGGCGCAUUAGUUAGUUGGUGAGGUAACGGCCCACCAAGACGAUGAUGCGUAGCCGGCCUGAGAGGGUGAACGGCCACAUUGGGACUGAGACACGGCCCAGACUCCUACGGGAGGCAGCAGUAGGGAAUUUUCGGCAAUGGGGGCAACCCUGACCGAGCAACGCCGCGUGAGUGAAGACGGCCUUCGGGUUGUAAAGCUCUGUUGUAAGGGAAGAACGGUAGAUAGAGAAUAUCUAAGUGACGGUACCUUACCAGAAAGCCACGGCUAACUACGUGCCAGCAGCCGCGGUAAUACGUAGGUGGCGAGCGUUAUCCGGAAUUAUUGGGCGUAAAGGGUGCGUAGGCGGCCUGUUAAGUAAGUGGUUAAAUUGUUGGGCUCAACCCAAUCCAGCCACUUAAACUGGCAGGCUAGAGUAUUGGAGAGGCAAGUGGAAUUCCAUGUGUAGCGGUAAAAUGCGUAGAUAUAUGGAGGAACACCAGUGGCGAANGCGGCUUGCUAGCCAAAGACUGACGCUCAUGCACGAAAGCGUGGGGAGCAAAUAGGA